CCCCCCCCCCCCCCCCCCCAUCAUUAUUUAAACAGUAUAAAGUUCUCUGUAAAUGUUUAAAACAACAACAGGAUUGGGAGGGGAAGGAGGAAAGACAAACAAGUUUGCUGUUUGAGCUUUGCAGAAACAGAUCUUAAUUUUUUGGCAGGGUUCUCCUUGCCCAGAAGAUCCAGCUGCCAGCACACUUCAGGAGGCUCCAAAUUCAUUAUCGCUUCUCUAACAUCUCCCUCCAACAGCCUGCAGUUUAGCACGGGCAGUGCCUUUGAUGUCAGGGCUUGGCCAGCACCUCGUGCUGUAGGAUCCCAGUUCAUCUCUGGGGCAUCUCUGCUUGGGAUCGAUGGUGUAAGUGCUCCCAGAGAUGCUUUUCUUUCCCGGCCCUGAGGUUCGUGGUUGGUGAAACUCAGCAGGAGCUGGGGAGCUCAGUGGAGUGUUGUGCCUGCAUGGGAGUGGGGCAGGAACCAGGGGCAGGAUGUGGGGGCUCCUAGUUUCCAGCCCAUUGCCUCUCCUUUCUCUUCUACAUCAGUAGCACUGCCAGCACCUGAUGCAUUAACACAGCAGAAACCCUAGAUAACCUCUGAAUACACAGCUGAUGGUGUUUGCGGCAGUGGACGUUUCCUGUGCUGUUGUAACAGAACGGCCUGGUCUAGCCAGGAAGCAGAAGUGGAAGAUGCAGUCUGGUCUUGCUGAGGCUGCCUUGCUUUACAGACCUGACCUGAGAUCCUGGAUCACAAAUGAUCUCUUGCUUUCUCAAGUAUCGGAUGUUUUUUUUUUUUUUCCCCCUUUUUUUCCCUCCAUGUUCAACCCAUGAGCUGAAGAGCUGCCAUGCCUUGCUGCAGCCAGCAGCUUCUGUCACUGCAGCACUCACAGCAGCCUCCUGGGGCUCGGUGCCCGCAGAUGUGCUGUGUGAUGCAAUGUGAACUUCACAUCACCUUCACGGAAAGACUGAAACGCAUCUAAACUGGAGCUCACCCGGUGUCACUGCCUUAGGCUGAACAGAGCACUGCUACAUCUGUCCUAGCUGUGAACUUCCAGCCUGAAAAGCCUCACGGGUGGUGAAAUGGUGCCCUGACUGAGUGAGCUGUGGUGGGAGCUUUCAGCUGGUAUUGCUUCUGCACACCAAGAAGGGGCAGCUGCACAUCCAUCAGGCUUAGUGCUGUCAGACCAGGCUGAGAUUGCUGAGUGCUGCAGUGGGUGCAUUCGAGACAAAUCUCAGGUGAGGGAGAGAGGAAAUGCAUAUGGCCUCACUGCCUCCCUGGAGCCAGCACUGUGACUGCUCCCUGGAGAGCAGCUCCCUGACUGCAUCAGCUCCCCGAGCAGCUCUGCUCCUUCUCCUCCCAGCAGCCAGAAACUGCCUACAUCAGCUUUUACCUUCCGAUGGAAACCGGCUGAGCCACAGCAAUGGGGAGCGACCCAUGGGCACUACGUGCUGCUGCAAGCUCUGUCCCACACCCGGGCAAGCCUGGGGUAUGAACCUCUGUGCUUCAGGAGCUGCAUUCCCCUGCCAGCUCUGCAAGGUCAGACACAGCCCAUGCCAUGCUCUGUGCACCCCUCCUCACCCCUCUGACUGCAAUAGCACCAGGCUGUCUCACAGCCCUGCUGAGCCCUGCCAAACCUCAAAAGCCCUUUCACAAAGAGCCACGUGUCAGCUCUCCGUGUCCCCUAUCAGCUCCAUCUACCUGACUUCUUCCUGCCGGUCACAGCAAGCCUGGGCAGGUAGCAGGACACGGGGCAGCUGGAGGUGGAUGCUGAAGGUUCAGCCAAAGUGCACUCCUUCCUGCAGCACUGCCUUCAGCUAAGGAAGGGAUCUUUCUUUAGCUCCUCUUUUCCUCCGCCUUUCAAAGCGGUGCCGUAUGGAUGCUAUCAUGGAGUUCAUUAGUCCCUGUCGGAGCCCCCUCCCUGGAGAGGAUGGAUUUUGCUGCAGCUGAGCUCUGGUGGUUUUUCUCUUGGGGUUUCAAGAAGUUUCAUUCCACCCAUGAGAAGUGCCAGGCGUCGGGGGAAGAUUUGUUUCUUGGCAGCUGUUCCCAUUUUGCUCUAGAAAACAGAUGCUGUGCUAGGAAUGCACCGUGACUAAAAUUCCUCUGGGCUGCUCAGGUCAAAUAGCAGCAACGGGGGAAGCAGGGGGCAGGGGAGCAGCGCUGCUCAGCACAGAGCGAGCAGAGGGCUGAGCCAAAAAGUGGGGCUGAGCAUUUCUAGGGAGCGGGGGCUCGGUGUGGGCUCACGCUUUGCUCUGCCUGUCCGAAGGAGCUGCAGAGCCUGGCGGUGUCAGCUCAUGGUUCUGUGACAGCGUCUGACCCCGGGGACGCGGAGCACACUGCCUCCGUUCCUUCUGCAGAGGGCUCGGGGAGGCUUUUGGGAUCAGGAGUUAAACAAGGGGUGUGAUGGGUGGUGACAGUUUGAGAAAAACACAAACAGCAGAAGGUAUUGGUGCUGUCAGGGAACAUGACAGACAAGUUCACAGCCCUGGCAGGCCUUUGGCUUCCUGUUUUCUUCUGCCAGGGAAGCGAUCCUGCGUGGUGACAGCCACAGGUGACCCUGCAGCGGGUGGGGGCAGAGCUGGGGAUGCUGAGAGCUAUCAGCCCCGUGGGGUGAGGUGUGCAGGCAGCCCCAGGCGGCCCUGCCCUCCUCGGAUGAAGGUGGUCAGCACGGUGUGGGCUCUGCAGCCCCUUGAUGCAACUGUAAAAUGGGUCACCCCAUCUAAACAGACCUCUCCUUGUUCCCAAGCUAAAAGAAGGGGCUGUGUGAUAGCAAACCUGCAGCUGGUCUCUCUAAUCUCCCACCAGCAUCUGCAUUAACUGACAGCACAGUGACUUCCUUGAUGCUUGGCAAUUUUUUUCCAUGCACGCAUCUAGCUAAUCAAUUAAGUUUCUCAGCAGCUUCCUCCAGCAUUCAGGCUUGGAGGGUGGAAGGAAUUUGUUAUUCUAGGCACUAUAGGAGAGGCAUGAACUGUACUAAAAGCAAAUUGGUUGCGCUUUCCAAGCACCGACAGUUCUCAGUCACAGCUCAGGGGGUCUGGUCCUGCUCCCACCGCCUUGCUCGGAGCCGUGGGAUGGGGAUGCUCUGUGUCUAUCUCAGCUCUAGGGACACUCUGGGUCUCCAGAAGCCACACAGCCCUCCUGGUCCAUUGGUGUUCAACCCCAUCCAAGGAGCUGGGGAGGUUGGUUUGUCCCUUAACUCAGCCCUCCACUAAAUAAAUAUCCUCCCUGCAUGCUCUUUUCGGAUCAGUUGUUUAUUUUCCCUUCUUUUCCUUCUCCUGUGCUUCUGCUUGUUCCCUGCCCUGCCCAGGCGUGCUGCUCCACGUGCUCUGUGAGAUGUCCCCAUCCAUCCUGCAAACCUGGGGCUGUGGGGGCUGCAGGGUGCAGGCAGGAUGGGUGGAGGCCCUGAGAAAUUUGGGGUGACCUCAGGAAGACGGACGGGUGGAUGAGAGGAACCUCAUCUCCUGCCAACUCGGCUACACCCUGCUAGUGGGAACGGGGAUGUUUUGUGCGUGUUUAGCAAUGCAAGAGGCUGAAGUAUGACAGCAGCAGGGGUCAGGAGGGCUGCGGGGUUUGUUAGGAGUGCGGCCAGUCGGGUGAUGCUCCUUGCUCCCCAUGAGACCUGUUGCAAUCCACACAUGCAUCCUCUCAGGCCAAGCAAAACUUGCACUGUGCUGCUGGCCUUUGGCUUUUGGCCUGCUCACGGCUGGGGUCCAGCUGGGUGGGGAGCAGUCCCUGCUCCUGGGCUUCCCCGUGGGCUCAUCACCCCAACAGCAUCCUGCUGAGAGGACGAGGGCGAAUUGGGUGGGGAGAACAACCUGUGCUUGAGGAGAAUUCUCGUCAUCAGCCAGAGGAUUUCAGCCACCUCCACGCCUGUUCCUUGCAGCCACCUGGUGCCAAAGGAUUGCAUCCGCGUGAUAAAUCCCAUUGCUGUUCUGCUCAGGAAGUAAUCUGGUGAACCAGGAAAGAGAACGUUGCUUGCUACCAGCCUUCUUUCCAAGCAAUUGCACAACACUGCUCCGGGGUUAGCAAACUGCAGACAUCUGGGAGCAAUCGAUGCUGUUUAGGCUCUGAGAAAGCACAAGAGAAAGUUAGAAGGAAGCAACUUGAAAGCUCAGCAUUGUUAAAAGCAGUCUGGAAACCCUGGAAAUCCACAAGAGGGUAAUGCCUACAAACAGCCCGGAGGCAGAAGGAAUGAGAAGGACGACGGGAACAGCAGCCUCCACAGGAGCCCUGGAAAUGGUUAAAGAUGUGGGGAGCCACAUCUUCUGUGACAACCUGCCCCCCCCCAGCACCCCCAUAAAUGAGAAACCU
ensembl:lncRNA